UGGGGAAUUUUCCGCAAUGGGCGAAAGCCUGACGGAGCAAGACCGCGUGAGGGAGGAAGGCUCUUGGGUUGUAAACCUCUUUUCUCAGGGAAGAAGCUCUGACGGUACCUGAGGAAUCAGCCUCGGCUAACUCCGUGCCAGCAGCCGCGGUAAUACGGAGGAGGCAAGCGUUAUCCGGAAUUAUUGGGCGUAAAGCGUCCGCAGGUGGCGAUUCAAGUCUGCUGUCAAAGCACGGGGCUUAACUCCGUAAAGGCAGUGGAAACUGAAUAGCUAGAGUGCCGUAGGGGUAGAGGGAAUUCCCGGUGUAGCGGUGAAAUGCGUAGAGAUCGGGAAGAACAUCGGUGGCGAAAGCGCUCUACUGGACGGCAACUGACACUCAGGGACGAAAGCUAGGGGAGCGAAUGGGAUUAGAUACCCCAGUAGUCCUAGCUGUAAACGAUGGAUACUAGGUGUAGCUUGUAUCGACCCGAGCUGUGCCGAAGCUAACGCGUUAAGUAUCCCGCCUGGGGAGUACGCACG
rnacentral:rRNA from 1 species